GAAUUGCAGAAUCCCGUGAACCAUCGAGUCUUUGAACGCAAGUUGCGCCCGAAGCCCUCGGGCCAAGGGCACGCCUGCCUGGGCGUCACGC
rnacentral:rRNA from 1 species